rnacentral:tRNA from 1 species
GCCAGAGUGGUGUAGUGGUUUGAGUGUUGGACUAUGACUCUGGAGAUCAGGAUUCAAAUCCCAGCUUGGCCA